rnacentral:rRNA from 1 species
AAGGUUUCCGUAGGUGAACCUGCGGAAGGAUCAUUAUUGAAUGAACUUGGUGUGGUUGUCGCUGGCCCUCUUGGGGGCAUGUGCACACCUACCAUCCUCAUCUCUCCACCUGUGCACCUCUUGUAGAUUUGGAAUUGAUUAUCCGAGGCAACUCGGUYGUGAGGACUGCUAGCACUUAGCYRGCUUUCUUUGCAAUUCCAGGUCUAUGUUUUUCAUAUACCCCAUUGUAUGUAACAGAAUGUAUCAUUGGGCCCUUGUGCCUAUAAACCUUAUACAACUUUCAGCAACGGAUCUCUUGGCUCUCGCAUCGAUGAAGAACGCAGCGAAAUGCGAUAAGUAAUGUGAAUUGCAGAAUUCAGUGAAUCAUCGAAUCUUUGAACGCACCUUGCGCUCCUUGGUAUUCCGAGGAGCAUGCCUGUUUGAGUGUCAUUAAAUUCUCAACCAUUAUCAACUUUUGCUGAUAAUGGCUUGGAUGUGGGGGUCUAUUUUGCUGGCUUCUCAGAUAGUCAGCUCCCCUUAAAUGCAUUAGCCGGUGCCCCGCGUGGACUGUCUAUUGGUGUGAUAAUUAUCUACGCUAUAGACRUCUGCAAYCAUAUGGGUUUGCGCUGCUUCUAACAGUCUGUUGAUUCAGACAAUACAUGACAAUUUGACCUCAAAUCAGGUAGGACUACCCGCUGAACUUAA